AACAAAGGUAGCCCCGCUAAGAACGCGACGUCCUGUCGCAACGCGGGAUGCAUACAUCCUGUAUG
rnacentral:sRNA from 1 species